rnacentral:rRNA from 1 species
GAUGAACGCUGACAGAAUGCUUAACACAUGCAAGUCAACUGUGGCGGACGGGUGAGUAACGCGUAAAGAACUUGCCUCACAGCUAGGGACAACAUUUGGAAACGAAUGCUAAUACCUGAUACUGUGAGAGAGCUUUGCGUCCCAUUAGCAAGUUGGAGAGGUAACGGCUCACCAAGGCGCUGAUGGGUAGCCGGCCUGCGAUGGUGAUCGGCCACAAGGGGACAGAGACACGGCCCUGACGGAUACGGGAGGCAGCAGUGAGGAAGAUUGGACAAAGGACCAAAGUCUGAUCCAGCAAUGCGGUGUGAAAGAUGAAGUUGUCGGAAGGAAAAGUGCUUUCAGUUGGGAAGCGGUACCAACAGAAGAAGGGACGGCUAAAUACGUGCCAGCAGCCGCGGUAAUUC